rnacentral:rRNA from 1 species
AACGCGAAGAACCUUACCUGGAUUUGACAUGGAGAGGCUACCGGUAGAAAUACCGGGUCCCGCAAGGGCCUUUUCACAGGUGCUGCAUGGCUGUCGUCAGCUCGUGCCGUGAGGUGUUCGGUUAAGUCCGGCAACGAGCGCAACCCACGUUAGUAGUUGCCAGCAGGUAAAGCUGGGCACUCUACUGAUACUGCCCGUGUUAAGCGGGAGGAAGGAGUGGAUGAUGUCAAGUCCGUAUGGCCUUUAUAUCCAGGGCUGCACACGUGCUACAAUGGCUGCUACAGAGGGAAGCGAAAUCGCGAGAUGGAGCAGAUCCGUAAAAACAGCCCUAGUUCGGAUUGCAGGCUGCAACUCGCCUGCAUGAAGCCGGAAUCGCUAGUAAAGGCGUAUCAGCCACGACGCCUUGAAUACGUUCCCGGGUCUUGUACACACCG